AACGAACGCUGGCGGCGCGUCUUACGCAUGCAAGUCGAACGGCAAGGGAGGAGCUUGCUUCUCUCCUAGAGUGGCGGACUGGUGAGGAACACGUGGGUAAUCUACCCUUAAGAUGGGGAUAGCUGCUAGAAAUAGCAGGUAAUACCGAAUACACUCGGCAUAUCACAAGAGGUGUUGAGGAAAGGAAGCUACGGCUUCGCUUGAGGAUGAGCUUGCGUCCCAUUAGCUAGUUGGUGAGGUAAAGGCCCACCAAGGCGACGAUGGGUAUCCGGCCUGAGAGGGUGAACGGACACAUUGGGACUGAGAUACGGCCCAAACUCCUACGGGAGGCAGCAGCUAAGAAUAUUCCGCAAUGGACGGAAGUCUGACGGAGCGACGCCGCGUGGAUGAAGAAGGCUGAAAAGUUGUAAAAUCCUUUUGUUGAUGAAGAAUAAGGGUGAGAGGGAAUGCUCAUCUGAUGACGGUAAUCGACGAAUAAGCCCCGGCUAAUUACGUG
rnacentral:rRNA from 1 species